GAUCAACGCUGGGAGAAAGAAGAAAAGUAGUGAAGGAGUCGAUGUGUGAUGCAGGACGGGUCUGAGCCAAGGAGCCAAGGUGCAGAAGUGCUGGUGAAAAAGACUUGGCAAUAGAAACUGUCUAUUCAAGACUGGACAGAUAAAGCACAGGAGCCGCUAACACGCACUCCCUGACAUCCUUCGCCGUUCCCCAGGAGGCAGCCUGCGUGACAGAGGAAUGGCAGAGCAUCAGCCGCGCAGCAGCAAUGAGAGAGACUGACAUUCAUACGAGUCUGUUCUGGCUCCUUCUCCACAAUGGCUGGUGCCUCUGCAUAUUCAUUGGAUGGUAAUGCAGGAUGUCGAGAGCAGCGGUAGAGUUUGGCUUGAUCCCAUUGUGUUUUUCUUCUGCCGGUUGAGACUUUGAAUCACCAUGACAACGCUGUGACACUUCCAGCAAAGGUUGCUCACAGA